ensembl:lncRNA
CUGAAGAGUGCAGUAAGAGCUGACUAUGAGGGAGACAGAAGUGCCUUCAGCACCAGAGGUGACACAUUUUUUUGUUUUUUUAAUGGUUUGACUUUUUAAAUUAUGUUUUUUUAACAUAAUUUUUACAUUUAAGAGCUCCAUUUUUUCAGCUUGCUGUUGAAGAUCUGCAGAAUGAAGAAGCCCUUUGUUUUGUGACCCUGCCAGGGUGUUAUUUUGGUCUGCUUUUUUUCUCCUGCCAGACGUCCUACAUGAAAGUACCGUGGCUCGGACAGCCCAAGAGUGCAGGCAGUGGGGAGCACCUCUGCCUCCAGUGCAUCCAUCAUCACUGUCCCCUCACGCUGCUUCAGACUGAUAUCUUCAGUAUGUCUGCUUAGCAAAUAAUUGAUGGGGAUGGUGUGGAGUUUUAAAGAGAGGAGCAGUUAAACGUCUAGCGGAGGAGUGCUUUUAGUGCCACGUCUGGUUGGGUCAUAAAUCCCAAAGAGUUUUGAUGUUUCUUCUGGUGGAUAGGCCUGAAAAAGGGUGGUAAAGAUGUAAAUACAUGGUGAUGGAUGAUGCAAUAAGGCUUGCUUAAGGGAUAUGUGUGUUGGGUAUGCUGGUAUGAAUCUCAACAUCUUUGAAGUUGGUGCUCUCGGUUUUGGUCUCUUCUUAUUUAAUUUUUUUUUCUUUAUUUAUUUUCCCACAUUGUAAAUGAAUACUGAAGUGAUUCAGACUUUGAAGGAACACAUAAGGAAUCAUGUAGUAAAUUAAAAGUGUUAAACAACCAAACUACUAUGUUAAGCAUUUAGGUUUAAGCCCUUAUCUGGGGAGCUGUUAACUUGUGAUUCCUGAGACUAGUAACUCUAAUUAACUCUAAUCUAAUUAGAAUCUAAUUCUGUGCAACAUAGGUAACUCUUUUGGUCUUCUUUUUCUGGGGCGGUCCUGAUGAGAGCCAGUUUCAUCAUCAUAAAAAAAUGUGAUGGUCUUUUUUGCGACUGCACUUGAGGAUAUUUUCAAAGUUGACUCUCUGAUUGACUGACCUUUAUUUCUUCAAGUCAUUUUUUUACUUUUUUUUUACUUAGUAGUUUUAGAGUAGUUUUUGCCAUAAUAUUAAUUUUAUAACAUUACUGAAAUAGAGCUAUUCACUCUAUACCAACUCUACCUGUUCACAACUGUACAACUGAUGCUCUUAAACACAUUAAGAGGACAAGACAUUUAAGUAAUAAACUCUUAAAAGUUCAGCA